rnacentral:misc_RNA from 1 species
GGUAAAGUCCCAAACACAAUGUCCCACAGUGAGGAGGUGAUCCCAAAGCCCUUGUUCUGAAUCCUAAAGUGAUGGUUCAGAUGGUAUCGCUUCAAAUUUCGACCAUGGUCUCUCGACGGUUGUCCAUGAUGCAGGUAGUAGUGAGUACAAUCAUAUAUCACGUAACCCAACAAUCCACCUCCAAAUAAGGCAGGCGCGAUGGAAGGAGUUGAGAACAG